rnacentral:rRNA from 1 species
AAGGAAUUUUGCGCAAUGGGCGAAAGCCUGACGCAGCAACGCCGCGUGAGGGAUGAAGGCCUUCGGGUUGUAAACCUCUUUUGUCAGGGACGAAUAAUGACGGUACCUGGCGAAUAAGCUUCGGCUAACUACGUGCCAGCAGCCGCGGUAAUACGUAGGAAGCAAGCGUUAUCCGGAUUUACUGGGCGUAAAGUGAGCGUAGGUGGCCUUUCAAGUCGGAUGUGAAAUCUCCUGGCUUAACUGGGAGGAGUCAUUCGAUACUGUUGGGCUUGAGGACAUCAAGGGAAGGUGGAAUUCCGGGUGUAGUGGUGAAAUGCGUAGAUAUCCGGAGGAACACCAGUGGCGAAGGCGGCCUUCUGGGAUGUUUCUGACACUGAGGCUCGAAAGUGUGGGGAGCGAAC